UCUUAAGGAUGAGCAGAGAAAGUGGUCUCCUGAGAUGGAACCUACUUGUGGUGAAGAUCCUGUAAA
rnacentral:pre_miRNA from 1 species